rnacentral:rRNA from 1 species
GUGCCAGCAGCCGCGGUAAGACGGAGGAUGCAAGUGUUAUCCGGAAUCACUGGGCGUAAAGCGUCUGUAGGUGGUUUAGUAAGUCAACUGUUAAAUCUUGAGGCUUAACUUCAAAAUCGCAGUCGAAACUAUUAGACUAGAGUAUAGUAGAGGUAAAGGGAAUUUCCAGUGGAGCGGUGAAAUGCGUAGAUAUUGGAAAGAACACCGAUGGCGAAAGCACUUUACUGGGCUAUUACUGACACUCAGAGACGAAAGCUAGGGUAGCAAAUGGGAUUAGAUACCCCAGUAGUCCUAGCCGUAAACAAUGGAUACUAGAUGUUGAACAGAUCGACCUGUGCAGUAUUAAAGCUAACGCGUUAAGUAUCCCGCCUGGGAAGUAUGCUCGCAAGAGUGAA